UGAAGGAUCUAAAACACCAUUACUGCAUGACAUUUUUUUAUUGAGCAUCACUAGCAUGGCGGUGGAUACAGACAGCCGACUCGCUCCACCUCGAUCACCGCCGAUGACAAACACAGAAGCGUUGACGUGCUUAUGAGACACUACAAGCGGAGGCCUCUACUGAUGGCACUUAUUACUCAGGGGGAGGGAAGGAGGGAGGAAGAGAGGAAGGAAGGAAGGAAGGAAGGGGUUACAUAAGGUUUCAAAUGAUGACCCGAUGACAAGCUUUACCGGGCGAAUUUUCAAACAACAUUUUUUAGUCGAUAUCAAAUAAGACAAGAGAAGUUUGCAAGGGAAGGAAGGGAGGGAGGGAGGGAGGGAGGGAGGAAGGAAGGAAGGAAGGAGUUACAUAAGGUUUCAAAUGAUGACCCGAUGACAAACUUUACCGGGCGAAUUUUUAAACAACAUUUUUUAGUCGAUAUCGAAUAAGACGCGAAGUUUGCAAGGGAAGGAAGGAAGGAAGGGAGGGAGGGAGGAAGGAAGGAAGGAAGGAAGGAAGGAAGGAAAGAAGGAAGGAAGGAAGGAAGGGAGGGAGGGAGGAAGGAAGGAAGGGAGUGAGGGAGGGAUGGGUUUCACAAUGUUAGCAAUUGAUGACCAGAUGACAAUUUUUACCAAGCGAAUUUUUGAACGAACACUUUUUAGCCGAUAUCAAAGCAGACAAGAAGAGAUUGCAAGGGAAGGGAGGUAAGAGGGAGGUAGUAGGUCAAUCAUUCAAGGGCAUCAGAUCACAACCUAACCAACCAUUCUCUGCAUCUCUUCCUUACAUAAAAGUUUCAACAUAUCCCCUUCACCUAACCUAACCUAACCAACCAUUCUCUGCAUCUCUUCCUUACAUAAAAGUUUCAACAUAUCCCCUUCACCUAACCUAACCUAACCAACCAUUCUCUGCAUCUCUUCCUUACAUAAAAGUUUCAACAUAUCCCCUUCACCUAACCUAACCUAACCAACCAUUCUCUGCAUCUCUUCCUUACAUAAAAGUUUCAAAAUAUCCCCUUCACCUAACCUAACCUAACCAACCAUUCUCUGCAUCUCUUCCUUACAUAAAAGUUUCAACAUAUCCCCUUCACCUAACCUAACCUAACCAACCAUUCUCUGCAUCUCUUCCUUACAUAAAAGUUUCAACAUAUCCCCUUCACCUAACCUAACCUAACCAACCAUUCUCUGCAUUAAAAAGUUUCAACAUAUCCCCAAGUCUUCCUAACCUAACCUAACCUAACCUAACCUCAGCUACUUCACCAGCCCCUUCAGUCUAUAGCUACCAAGUCAAUGUCUCCUCAAGUCUUUCAGCAAACUCAGUCUCUAGAAGCGUCUAAGUCAAUUAUUUACUGCCAUCAGAUCACAACCUAACCUCGCUAACCGAUCCACCUCCCUACCUUCCUUCCUUCCUUGACCUACAUUCAUACCCACAGAAGUACCUCCCUCCUCCUACCUCCCACCAUACCUCAAUAGUUACACGGAAGAAGUAUUUAUCGGACAAGGACACGGGAAUAUUGUCUUUCGAUGGCGUAGUUUUGAAUCAUUGAACUCCUAGGAAAUACAUCAACCUACAGCACCUAAGGAAGCUCAGGUCUCUCAGCUAAGAGCAUGAUUUGGCCGCUCAGGGGAGGCAGAAAGCUUGAGGCCGAGAGGGGAAACACUACACACGAUUUAUAUAUAAUGUCUGGGAAGUCCGUCUUGUGUAAAUGUUGACCUCGCUCGGACGGCGGAAAUAAUGGAAGAGAUAUCGGAGAGACUGUGGAAGGAAGGAAGGAGGGAAGGAAGGAAGGAAGGAAGGAAGGAAGGAAAGGAAAAGAAAAAGAAACUGCAAAAAAUAUAGAGCAAACGAAAUGGAGGAGAGAGAAAAGAAGGAAGGAGGGAGAGAGAGAAAAGGAAAUGAAGGAGGGAGGAAGGAAGGAAGGAAGGAGGGAGAGGAAGAGAGAAAAAGAUGUGGAGGAGAGAGGAAGGAAGGAAGGAAGGAAAGGAAGAAGGAAAAACAGAAAAAGAAAAAGAAAUAAAUGAAGGAGAGAAGGAAAGGAGGGAGGGAGGGAGGGAAGGAGGAAGGAAGGAGAGGAAAGAAAAAUAAAAAAUAAUUAACAUGAGACAGAGAGAGGAUCAAGCUUCUCCACAAGACCGCCUCACACACACACUAACAUACAGUAAAGCUUCUCAGGGCAGACUAACUUACUAUUUGGCUCAGUGUUUGUGAUGACGAGAGAGAGAGACUGACCUAUCCUGCCUGACCCCACAUUCUUGAACACUGGCACCAAAACUCACAUUCUAAGGUCCAAGGUACAGAGGAAGCGUCAAACUAUCACCAGGGUCAUGAAACUACCCCUGGAAAUGCCCAAAACUCCUAUGAAAGCCUUGUUAACCUGGUAGCAGCAACGGGCCAAAUUUGUGGCUUCACCGUGUAGCAGCGAUGGGCCAAAUUUGUGGCUUCACCAUGUAGCAGCGACGGGCCAAAUUUGUGGCUUCACCGUGUAGCAGCGACGGGCCAAAUUUGUGCCACGAUAUAAACCCCCAAAAAUAUAUGAUACAUAAUCUGAUCACAAAUGCUUUGAUAUAUAUUAUGAAAUGGUUUGUGUGAAGGGUGAUUUUUUCUCAUUUUUUUCUUGCUUGGAGGGACCAUUAAGAAACAUGAUCCAUGCUGCUACUGGGUUAAACACUGGUGCCAAAACUCACACAUUCUAAGGUUCAUGGUACAGAGGAAGGGUCAAACUACCACCAGGGUCAUGAAACUACUCCUGGAAAUGCCCAAAACUAUUAUGGAAGCUUUGUCAAAUGUGUGUUUCUUAGGUUCAUGGUACAGAAGAAGGGUCACACCACCACCAGGGUCACAAAACUACCCCUGGAAAUUGCCACAACUCUCACGAAAGAUUUUAACAAUGGUUUCGUAGGAGUUUGGGUCAUUUCCAGGGGUAGCUUCAUGACCCUGGUGGUAGUUUGACCCUUCCUCUGUACAGCGAACCUAAAGAAACACUCAUUAGAACCCAACUGACCUCCUCUUUGGCCUUUGGAAACAGUUGAUGUGAGGCGCGGAAACAUCUGAGAAUGUGGCCGUACAAUCCUUCCUUCUCUCCUCUCGUCGUGACAUACAAACAGUACACGUAUAUUGCUCUUUGUUUUCAUUGUUACGUUAUAAAAAGUAUCACAAAACACGAAAGAAAAUGCGCUAGAAACGACGUACAUGUAUUUUAACCUGACAUCAAAACACACACACACACACACACACACACACACACAUACACACACACACAAACACUACCUUACUCUCUCCUUAUCUCUCACUCUCUCGUACAAGCAGGAGCCUACACGAAGGUCCGAUUUCUAUUAGUGUUUAAAGUACUAACAGUGGGGAACAGUAGUAGUUUUUCGGGGUAGGAUUUCGUCAUCAAGGAAGCCACAGGACACGAGAGAUAUGAUUAGUGGUUUCUUAUGCUACAGAUGGCACACGAUAUAUAUAUAAAUAAGAAUGGAAAUAAUAUGAAACGACUCCUAUACUAUGCUCGCUUAACUACACAAUAUAGUAAUGGGAAUGAUGCUAAUCUUUCCUUUCUGAUUUUGUGACCUCCUCCUCCUCCUCCUCCUCCCCUUCCUCUUUCUCCACCUGGUCCUCUGUCUGGUGUUAGUGUACUCCAUCCUGCCCCUGACAAAGGUUCUAAUUUCACCUCUCCGCCUUGUCCUCUGUCUGGUGUUAGUGUACUCCAUCCUGCCCCUGACAAAGGUUCUAAUUUCACCUCUCCACCUGGUCCUCUGUCUGGUGUUAGUGUACUCCAUCCUGCCCCUGACAAAGGUUCUAAUUUCACCUCUCCACCUGGUCCUCUGUCUGGUGUUAGUGUACUCCAUCCUGCCCCGGUAAAGGUUCUAAUUCCACCUCUCCACCUGGUCCUCUGUCUGGUGUUAGUGUACUCCAUCCUGCCCCGGUAAAGGUUCUAAUUCCACCUCUCCACCUGGUCCUCUGUCUGGUGUUAGUGUACUCCAUCCUGCCCCGGCAAAGGUUCUAAUUCCACCUCUCCACCUGGUCCUCUGUCUGGUGUUAGUGUACUCCAUCCUGCCCCGGCAAAGGUUCUAAUUCCACCUCUCCACCUGGUCCUCUGUCUGGUGUUAGUGUGCUCCAUCCUGCCCCGGCAAAGGUUCUAAUUCCACC